GUGAGUUCUGCAGCACAAAGCAUUUCCUGUUCCUGUCAGAAAAACUCGACUUCCAACAACCCAAAUGUCUCAGUAAUCUGAGGAAAACGCCUCAUCCAUCGGCCGAUCGGUCCGAUUAGUGAAACUGGACCGAUGCGACGCAGCAAAGCAUCAUGGGUCGUUUCAUUAAGGUGUUGAAAGAUCAGAGAAAUAUUAAUAUCAGUGAAUAUUGAUUAUCAGCCGAAACAGCAAUAACUGUAUUGGUUAAAUUCAUCAGAUGAAUUAUCUGGAUUUCUAACCAAUCAGCAGUUAGAGUUGCUGGUCAAACUGGGACCAGUCCAGCAGCCUGGAAACUGGCCAGCUGACCUCUGACCUGCCUUUUAUAAUAAUGAUUUAUUUAUUUAUUAAGAAUCCAAACAAACACAUGAAAACUUGUUGCUUCUCUAAACCGCAGAGUCUGGACCAAAUUAGCAGUUAACCUUUAUUUGUCCUGGAUUACAAUAUCACCAGGUGACCUUUGACCCCAUCCAAUCACUGAACAGAUGCUGACAACAAAUCAAUGUGUGGAUGAGACAAAACUUUCUUCAGCUCAACA